GAUGAACGCUGGCGGUAUGCUUAACACAUGCAAGUCGAACGGGAUCUUUCGGGAUCUAGUGGCGGACGGGUGAGUAACGCGUGAGAAUCUGCCUUCAGGACGGGGAUAACAGUUGGAAACGAUUGCUAAAACCCGAUGUGCGGAGACGUGAAAUAUUAAUAGCCUGAAGAGAAGCUCGCGUCAGAUUAGCUGGCUGGUGUGGUAAGAGCGCACCAAGGCAACGAUCUGUAGCUGGUCUGAGAGGAUGAGCAGCCACACUGGAACUGAGACACGGUCCAGACUCCUACGGGAGGCAGCAGUGGGGAAUUUUCCGCAAUGGGCGAAAGCCUGACGGAGCAAUACCGCGUGAGGGACGAAGGCUUUUUGGGUCGUAAACCUCUUUUCUCAAGGAAGACACAGGACGGUACUUGAGGAAUAAGCAUCGGCUAACUCUGUGCCAGCAGCCGCGGUAAU
rnacentral:rRNA from 1 species